AAAACGGAGGCGAAAUCAUACCAGUACGCUUCAAGAGUUAGCCAUGCUACUGCCUAUCCCCCUGCAGGCCAGCAGCAAAAAACUCACCAAGAAGGAGAUUCUCCUGCACGUUCUGCACUAUAUCAAACACCUCCAGCGAAGCAUUGAUGUGGCCAAGUCUCUUCUCUUAUUCCAGCCGUCAGACAAAGAAGAACGAAGAGCAGGGGCCACAGAUCCUCAUCCAUGCCUGGCCCUAGGCAGAGGCCCCUCCCAACCAGGGAGGCAGCCGGUGGACAAAUUGAGCCCAAACAGAAGCAGAGGAGAAGCUACGGGGGAAGCCGCUCUCCCCAGGAGACUCCCCACCCCUUGCCGACAACUGGAGUCCUGGUUGCCCCCAUCCCACAGAGGAGCUGGGCUCACACUUCUGGAGAUGGCUGAAGGCGGG
rnacentral:lncRNA from 1 species